rnacentral:sRNA from 1 species
CCGAUCGCCCGUAAGGGGACCGGAUGUCGAAGGGCGCCAGCUCUUUGGCGCCCUCGUAAGAUCCAUGUUGCUCAAUGGAGGAUAUGGUUAUGAGGA